GCGGCCUAUCAGCUUGUUGGUGAGGUAAUGGCUCACCAAGGCGUCGACGGGUAGCCGGCCUGAGAGGGUGACCGGCCACACUGGGACUGAGACACGGCCCAAACUCCUACGGGAGGCAGCAGUGGGGAAUAUUGCACAAUGGGCGAAAGCCUGAUGCAGCAACGCCGCGUGAGGGAUGACGGCCUUCGGGUUGUAAACCUCUUUUAGCAGGGAAGAAGCGAAAGUGACGGUACCUGCAGAAAAAGCGCCGGCUAACUACGUGCCAGCAGCCGCGGUAAUACGUAGGGCGCAAGCGUUAUCCGGAAUUAUUGGGCGUAAAGAGCUCGUAGGCGGUUUGUCGCGUCUGCUGUGAAAUCCCGAGGCUCAACCUCGGGCCUGCAGUGGGUACGGGCAAACUAAAGUGCGGUAGGGGAGAUCGGAAUUCCU
rnacentral:rRNA from 1 species